rnacentral:tRNA from 1 species
GGAGGGGUAGCGAAGUGGCUAAACGCGGCGGACUGUAAAUCCGCUCCUUCGGGCUCGGUGGUUCGAAUCCACUCCCCUCCACCA